ACUUUCAACAACGGAUCUCUUGGUUCUGGCAUCGAUGAAGAACGCAGCGAAAUGCGAUACGUAAUGUGAAUUGCAGAAUUCAGUGAAUCAUCGAAUCUUUGAACGCACAUUGCGCCCGCCAGUAUUCUGGCGGGCAUGCCUGUUCGAGCGUCAUUUCA
rnacentral:rRNA from 2 species